ensembl:lncRNA
CUCUUCUUCCUCAAUGAGCCCCUGCAUUUCUUUGUUCAACUGCUUUGCCUCUUAUUGCAUUCUGCCUCAUAGGGGAGUUACACUGCUUAAGUCACCCCCAAAGGUAAGAUUUUUGGAUAAGGUGCUUGUUCAUAUUUAAAGCUCCUCUGAAAUAGUUGAUUCUCAGUGAAGGCUGUGGGGAAGGUGUGUUACUGCCACUCCAUAUGUGCACUAUGCUACACUUGACUGUGAAUUAUAGCAAUGCUUUCAUCUCUCUCUCUGUGUAUAUUAAAGCUACCUAUUUUCUCCAUCAGUUUCAUUCCUAUUUUUCUUGGAAGUAGUACUUGCUUAUCUUUUUAACCUGGUUUCCUAAACAGAAUCAACAGGCAUGAAUGAUCUAGUACUAUUAGAACAAUUUUGCCAUAUGUUUACUUAUUUAUUGUCUGUCACAGGCACAUGUUGUUAUGUACUUUAAUCCUCUUGAAGAGGGAUUCUCUUUAUUUUAUAGGCAAAACAAAAAACAAAGCAGAAGAAACCCAAGGCUCAGAGACAUUAAGGAGUUUUACCAGCAUCACAUAGCUGAUAAGAAUUAAGCAAGGACAUGAACCCAGCUCUCUGUGUAUGCAUACUGAAUUGCUUCAGUCCCGUCAGGCUCCUCUGCCCUUGGGAUUCUGCAGAAAAGAAUACUGGAGUGUGUUGCCAUGCUCUCUUACAGGGGAUCUUCCUGACCCAAGUGUCAAACAUGCGUCUCUUACAUCUCCUGCAGUAGUAGGCAAAAGGACACAGCUUCUCAGUGUCUGCCUGUCAGACUUCUUGGCCUCGGGCUGAAAAUUUUAUGUAGUUCUCAGGAGUUCCUGCAAGGCUGGCUUCAAGGAGCCCCUUCACCUCACCCUCCCAGACCACAGAGAGCAGCAAGAAUCCUUCCAGGCAGACUAGGUUGGAUUGGAUUCAGGAGCCUAAUUACCACCAGAAAAUUAAAGAAAGGUAAUAAUUGCUUUUAAAUACUUAACAAAGGCCAAUCUCACCUCGCAGGUUUGUAAAUUUGUAGUGAGAACUGAUUACAAGGGAGCACUUGUGCUGCCC